GAUUCGGCAAGGCAAUUUAUGUGUGAAAAAUGUGUGGGCACAAUGUAGCAGUAAAUUAGAGAUUGUACUGGACAUACUGGAAAAGAACAGUUACAGUAUCGUAUUGAACUCAAAAGACCUAUACUUUUGCCAACAUUCUCUAAUGAGACGUUUUUGCAGUAGGAAAGUCAGAGCAAAACCAGGGGAUCAUGGCAAAAUCUAAAAGUCUGUCACACCAUCUGGAGUUCUGACUUUGAACAGGUCAUGGAUAUGUCAAAGCAGUUUUGAUGCUUUGGACUACAUGGCUGGCACGUCAAUGAUGGUUGGAAGAGCCUGGUCGGUUGGUGUUCCUUGCAAAAAUGGAUAGCAGAGUGGUGGCGUUAGAGUCUGUCCUGCUGGUGGAUGGUGGGGAGACCAUUGUAGCGCAAGGGCCGUGGGUGGCUCCUAGUGUGAGUGGCCAGGGGAUUACUGGUUCCAUCCAGAGAUGCCUGCAGUAUAUGCCUGCAGUCACUUUCCACAGGUCACUUGCCCGAAGACUGUGCCGAGAAAAAAAAAGCUGAUGCUCCAGAUACUCAACUAGUCUAAAGAAGGCCAGUUUUAUUGCUUCUUUAAUCAGAACAACAGUUUUCAGCUGUGCUAACAUAAUUGCAAAAGGGUUUUCUAAUGAUCAAUUAGCCUUUUAAAAUUAUAAACUUGGAUUAGCUAACACAACGUGCCAAAGGAGUGAUGGUUGCUGAUAAUGGGCCUAUGUAGAUAUUCCAUAAAAAAUCUGCCGUUUCCAGCUACAAUAGUCAUUUACAACAUUAACAUUAACACUGUAUUUCUGAUCAAUUUGAUGUUAUUUUAAUGGACAGAAAAAUUAGCUUUUCUUUCAAAAACAAGGACAUUUCUAAUUGACCACAAACUUUUGAACGGUAGUGUAUGUAUGGACAAGCAUCAUGCAAUGUAUCUUGAGCUGAAAUAGCCUUCUCUCUUGAAUCACCUAUUGUGUAUUGUUCUUUAUUUGUGUUGUGAGGUAGGUGACAUAGGACCUUUCCUUGAGGAACUACAACAGAGACUCGACCAAGAGUACAAGGCUGAGGCCUUCAACCCAGUGACCCUGAGCCAAGCAGAGGCAGAAAAAGCAGUGCUGAGCACAUACGUAGUUGCAAACCUACUGCCGGGUUGCACCAUUAUCAACGACUGAGAGCCACUGAAGUUUAUGGAGGCUAAUCUGGAAGUGCUUUGCAGGAGGGGGCUAACCUGGGUAGCAGACUGCCCACUCAGGCCCAAUACCCUCAGUCUCCGCACCAGACCACACCCAGCGCCCUAUUGCCACGUUGCCCUCCAUUUUAACAUCAACAUUUUUUGGUCACAGCCUUGAUUCAGUCUGUACUCUGUUCCUGGCACAGCUUAGAAACCUGCCCUGAUGCUUGAGUGGAUAUCUCAUCUUCUAUACUUACAGUACCAGUCAAAAGUUUGGAAACACCUACUCAUUCAAGGGUUUUUCUUUAUUUUGACUAUUUUCUACAUUGUAGAAUAAUAGAAGACAUCAAAAUUAUGAAAUAACAAAUACGGAAUCAUGUAGUAAACAAAAAAGUGUUAAACAAAUCAAAAUAUAUUUUAGAAUGUAUAUUCUUCAAAGUAGCCACCCUUUGCCUUGAUGACAGCUUUGCACACAGCUUUGCAGCUUGGCAUUCUCUCAACCAGCUUCACCUGUAAUUAUUUUCCAACAGUCUUGAAGGAGUUCCCACAAAUGCUGAGCAAUUGUUGGCUGCUUUUCCUUCACUCUGCGGUCCAACUCAUCUCAAACCAUCUCAAUUGGGCUGAGGUCGGGUGAUUGUGGAGGCCAGGUCAUCGGAUGCAGCACUCCAUCACUCUCCUUCUUGGUCAAAUGGCCCUUACACAGCCUGGAAGUGUGUUGGGUCAUUGUCCUGUUGAAAAACAAAUGAUAGUGCCACUAAGCGCAAACCAGAUGGGAUGGCGUAUCACUGCAGAAUGCUGUGGUAGCCAUGCUGGUUAAGUGUGGCUUGAAUUUUAAAUAAAUCACUGACAGUGUCCCUAGCAAACCACUAUCACACCUCCUCCUCCAUGUAUCACGGUGGGAAGCACACGUGGGGAGAUCAUCCGUUCACCUACUAUGCGUCUCACAAAGACACGGCGGUUGGAACCAAAAAUCUCACAUUUGGACUCAUCAGACCAAAGGACAGAUUUCCACCAGUCUAAUGUACCUUGCUCGUGUUUCUUGGCCCAAGCAAGUCUCUUCCUAUUAUUGGUGUCCUUUAGUAGUGGUUUCUUUGCAGCAAUUGGACCAUGAAAGCCUGAUUCACGCAGUCUCCUCUGAACAGUUGAUGUUGAGAUGUGUCUGUUACUUGAACUCUGUGAAGCAUUUAUUUUUUGGGCUGCAAUUUCUGAGGCUGGUAACUCUAAUGAACUUAUCCUCUGCAGCAUUGGUAACUCUGGGUCUUCCUUUCCUGUGGCGGUCCUCAUGAGAGCCUGUUUCGUCAUAGCUUGAUGGUUUUUGCAACUGCAAUUGAAGAACCUUUAAAAGUUCUUGACAUUUUCCAAUUGACUGACCUUCAUGUCUUGAAGUAAGGAUGGACUGUUGUUUCUCUUUGCUUAUUUGAGCUGUUCUUGCCAUAAUAUGGACUUGAUCAAUUACCAAAUAGGGCUAUCUUCUGUAUACCACACCUACCUUGUCACAACACAACUGAUUGGCUCAAAUACAUAAAGAAGGAAAGAAAUUCCACAAAUUAACUUUUAACAUUAAUUGAAAUUCAUUCCAGGUGACUACCUCAUGAAUCUGGUUGAGAGAAUGCCAAGAGUGUGCAAAGCUGUCAGUGAGGCAUCAAGGUGGCUACCUUGAAGAAUCAACAAUCUUUUUUUCUUUUUUUUUUUUUUUUAACCCCUUUUUCUCCCCAAUUUUCGUGGUAUCCAAUCGCUAGUAAUUACUAUCUAGUCUCAUCGCUACAACUCCCGUACGGGCUCGGGAGAGACGAAGGUCGAAAGCCAUGCGUCCUCCGAAGCACAACCCAACCAAGCCGCACUGCUUCUUUAACACAGCGCGCCUCCAACCCGGAAGCCAGCCGCACCAAUGUGUCGGAGGAAACACCGUGCACCUGGCCCCCUUGGUUAGCGCGCGCCCGGCUCGCCACAGGAGUCGCUGGAGCGCGAUGAGACAAGGAUAUCCCUACCGGCCAAACCCUCCCUAACCCGGACCCUAACCCGGACAACGCUAGCCCAAUUGUGCGUCGCCCCACGGACCUCCCGGUCGCGGCCGGCUGCGACAGAGCCUGGGCGCGAACCCAGAGACUCUGGUGGCGCAGUUAGCACUGCGAUGCAGUGCCCUAGACCACUGCGCCACCCGGGAGGCCCCCAAGAAUCAACAUUCUUAAAUAUAUUUUGAUUUGUUUAACACUUUUUUUAUUGCUACAUGAUUCCAUAUGUGUUAUUUCAUAGUUUUGAGGUCUUCUAUUUUUCUACAAUGUAGAAAAUAGUAAACAUAAAGAAAAUCCCCAGAAUGAAUAGGUGUGUCCAAACUUUUGACUGGUACUGUAUGUGCAUCCCAGUAUCCAUCCUGGGCUAAAGCAGUUUUGUCAGAACCCUUCCAGUGCCAUGUUCUUCAAGGAUUAUUGGAAGGAGCUUUUGCUGGAGACCUUUAUCAAUAUCUGGAGCUGGAGGAAACACAAUUUGUAUUUAUUUUACCUUUAUUUAACCAGGUAGGCUAGUUGAGAACAAGUUCUCAUUUACAACUGAAACCUGGCAAAGAUAAAGCAAAGCAGUGCGACACAAACAACACAGAGUUACACAUGGGAUAAACAAACGUAUAGUCAAUAACACAAACUAAAAAUCUAUAUGAAGUGUGUGCAAAUGUAGUAGGAUUUGGGAGGUAAGGCAAUAAAUAGACCAAAGUGGCGAAAUAAUUACAAUUUAGCAAUUAAACACUGGAGUGAUAGAUGUGCAGAAGAUUAAUGUGCAAGUAGAGAUACUGGGGUGGAAAGGAGCAAAGAAUAAGUAGCAAUAUGUGGAUGAGGUAGUUUGGUGGGCUAUUUACAGAUGGGCUGUGUACAGGUGCAAUGAUCGGAAAGCUGCUCUGACAGCUGAUGCUUAAAGAUAGUGAGGGAGAUAAGAGUCUCCAGCUUCAGUGAUUUUUUCAAUUCGUUCCAGUCAUUGGCAGCAGAGAACUGGAAGGAAAGGUGGCCAAAGGAGGAGGUGGCUUUGGGGAUGACCAGUAAAAUAUACCUGCUGGAGCGCGUUCUACGGGUGGGUGCUGCUAUGGUGACCAGUGAGCUGAGAUAAGGCAGGGCUUUACCUAGCAAAGACUUAUAGAUGACCUGGAGCCAGUGGGUUUGGUGACAAAUAUGAAGCGAGGGCCAGCCAACGAGAGCAUACAGGUCGCAGUGGUGGGCAGUAUAUGGGGCUUUGGUGACAAAACGGAUGGCACUGUGAUAGCAAAUUGGAUGUAGUCUAAGUAGAGUGUUGGAGGCUAUUUAGUAAAUUACAUCGCCGAAGUCAAGGAUCGGUAGGAUAGUCAGUUUUACGAGGGUAUGUGUGGCAGCAUGAGUGAAGGACGCAUUGUUGGGAAAUAGGAAGCCGAUUCUAGAUUUCAUUUUGGAUUAGAGAUGCUUAAUGUGAGUCUGGAAGGAGAGUUUACAGUCUUGCCAGACACCUAGGUAUUUGUAGUUGUCCACAUUUUCUAAGUCAGAACCGUCCAGAGUAGUAGUGAUGCUAGACGGGCAGGCUUGUGCGGGCAGCGAUUGGUUGAAAAGCAUGCAUUUAGUUUUACUUGCAUUUAAGAGCAGUUGGAAGCCACGGAAGGAGAGUUGUAUGGCAUUAAAGCUCGUCUGGAGGUUAGUUAACACAGUGUCCAAAGAAGGGCUAGAAGUAUACAGAAUGGUGUCAUCUGCGUAGAGGUGGAUCAGAGAAUCACCAGCAGCAAGAACGACAUCAUUGAUGUAUACAGAGAAAAGAGUCUGCCCAAGAAUUGAACCCUGUGGCACCCCCAUAGAGACUGCCAGAGGUCCGGACAACAGGCCCUCCGAUUUGACACACUGAACUCUAUCUGAGAAGUAGUUGGUGAACCAGGCGAGGCAGUCAUUUGAGAAACCAAGGCUGUCUAGUCUGCCAAUAAGAAUGAAGUGAUUGACAGAGUCGAAAGCCUUGGCCAGGUCGAUGAAGACGGCUGCACAGUAUUGUCUUUUAUCGAUGGCGGUUAUGAUAUAAUUUAGGACCUUGAGCGUGGCUGAGGUGCACCCGUGACCAGCUCUGAAACCAGAUUGCAUAGCGGAGAAGGUACGAUGGGAUUCGAAAUGGUCGGUAAUCUGUUUGUUAACUUGGCUUUCGAAGACUUUAGAAAAGGCAGGGUAGGAUAGAUAUAGGUCUAUAACAGUUUGGGUCUAGAGUGUCUCCCCAUUUAAAGAGGGGGAUGACCGCGGCAACUUUCCAAUCUUUAAUGAUCUCAGAUGAUACAAAAGAGAGUUUGAACAGGCUAGUAAUAGGGGUUGUGUAACGGCGGUCCUCCUCCUCUUCGACCGAAAAGGAGGAGUAUUGAGGGAACCAAGGCGCAGCGGAGUUUGAACACAUAAUUUAUUAAAGAAAACACGAACUUGACUAAACUAACAAAAACAACAAACGGUGUAGACAGACCUAGACGACGAACUUACAUAAAACAAGAAGAACGCACGAAUAGGAAACAUAGGCUACACAAAUGAACGAGGAACAAACAAACCGAAAACAGUCCCGCGUGGUGUGCAGACACAGACACGGAAGACAAUCACCCACAACGAACACUGUGAAAACGCCUACCUAAAUAUGACUCUUAAUUAGAGGAACGCCAAACACCUGCCUCUAAUUAAGAGCCAUACCAGGCAACCCAAUAAACCAACACAGAAACAGAAAACAUAGAAUGCCCACCCAAACUCACGUCCUGACCAACUAACACAUAUAACAAACUAACAGAAAUAGGUCAGGAACGUGACAGGUUGCAACAAUUGCGGCGGAUAAUUUUAGAAAGAGGGUCCAGAUUGUCUAGCCCGGCUGAUUUGUAGGGGUCCAGAUUUUGCAGCUCUUUCAGAACAUCAGCUUUCUGGAUUUUGGUGAAGGAGAAAUGGGGGAGGCUUGGGCAAGUUGCUGUGGGGGGUGCAGAGCUGUUGACCGGGGUAGGGGUAGCCAGGUGGAAAGCAUGGCCAGCCGUAGAAAAAUGCUUAUUGAAAUUCUUGAUUAUCGUAGAUUUAUCAGUGGUGACAGUGUUUCCUAGCCUCAGAGCAGUGGGCAGCUGAGAGGAGGUGCUCUUAUUCUCCAUAGACUUUACAGUGUCCCAGAACUUUUUGGAGUUUGCACUACAGGGUGCAAAGUUCUGUUUGAAAAAGGUAGCCUUUGCUUUCUUAUCUGCCUGUGUAUAUUGGUUCCUAACUUCCCUGAAAAGUUGCAAAUCGCGGGGGCUAUUCGAUGCUAAUGCAGUACGCCACAGGGUGUUUUUGUGCUGGUCAAGGGCAGACAAGUCUGGAGUGAAGCAAGGGCUAUAUCUGUUCUUAGUUCAAAUUUUUUUUGAAUGGAGCAUGCUUAUUUAAGAUGGUGAGGAAAGCACUUUUAUAGAAUUACCAGGAAUCCUCUACUGAUGGAAUGAGGUCAGUAUCCUUCCAGGAUACCCAGGCCAGGUCGAUUAGAAAGGCCUGCUCCCUGGAGUGUUUUAGGGAGCGUUUGACAGUGAUGAGGGGUGGUCGUCUGACCGCGGACCCAUUACGGACACAGGCAAUGAGGCAGUGAUCGCUGAGAUCCUAGUUUAAGACAGCAGAGGUGUAUUUAGAGGGCAGGUUGGUCAGGAUGAUAUCUAUGAGGGUGCCCGUGUUUACGGAUUUAGGGUUGUACCUGGUAGGUUCCUUGAUAAUUUGUGUGAGAUUGAUGGCAUCUAGCUUAGAUUGUAGGAUGGCCGGGGUGUUAAGCAUAUCCCAGUUUAGGUCACCUAACAGUACGAACUCUGAAGAUAAAUGGGGGGCAAUUAAUUCACAUAUGGUGUCCAGGGGACAGCUGGGGGCUGAGGGGGGUCUAUAACAAGCGGCAACAGUGAGAGACUUAUUUCUGGAAAGGUGAAUUUAUAAAAGUAGAAGCUCGAACUGUUUGGGCAUAGACCUGGAUAGCAUGACAUAACACUGCAGUCGAUUGAAACUCCACCCCCUUUGGCAGUUCUAUCUUGGGUGAAAAUGUUGUAGUUGGGGAUGGAAAUUUUUGAAUUUUUGGUGGCCUUCCUAAGACAGGAUUCAGACACGGCAAGGACAUCAGGGUUGGCGGAGUGUGCUAAAGCAGUGAAUAAAACAAACUUCGGGAGGAGGCUUCUGAUGUUAACAUGCAUGAAACCAAGGCUUUUACAGUUACAGAAGUCAACAAAUGAGAGCGCCUGGGGAAUAGGAGUGGAACUGGGGGCUACAGGGCCUGGGUUAACCACUACAUCACCAGAGGAACAGAGGAGUAGGAUGAGGGUACGGCUAAAUGCUAUAAGAACUAGUCGUCUAGUGCGUUGGGGACAGAGAAUAAAAGGAGCAGAUUUCUGGGCGUGUUAGAAUAGAUUCAGAGCAUAAUGUACAGACAAUGGUAUGGUAGGAUGUGAGUACAUUGGAGGUAAACCUAGGCGUUGAGUGGCGAUGUUAGAGGUUUCGCCUCUGGAGGCACCAAUUAAGCCAGGUGAAGUCUCCACAUGUGUGUGAGGUUGGACAAAAGAGCUAUCUAAGGCAUUUUGAGCGGGACUGAGGGCUCUACGGUGAAAUGAAACAAUAAGAACUAGCCAGAACAGCCGAGUGAUCAUAGGGGCAAAAGAGAAGCAAUAGGUGAGCCAGGGUGCCGUUCUGUAGUCACUUACUACGCUAGGCGAGCAGGGGACACAGCGUUCAGAAAAGCUAGCGGGCCGGGGCUUGUAGAUGGUUCUUCGGCAACAUCGUAACAGAAUAGCCUGUUGAGACCACAUCGGGCGAUUACGUCGGCAGUCCAGUCGUGAUGGAUCUGCGGGUCUCCAUGUCGACAAUAAAGGGUCCAAGCCAAUUGGCAAAGGAGGUAUUGUAGCCCUAGAAUUUGCUGCUAUAUGGGCCUAGCUCGAGGCUAGCUGAAGGCUAGAUGGUGCUUGCUUCAGGACAGAGGCGUUAGCUAACAGUAGCCACUCGUUUGCAGCUAGCUAGCUGCGAUGAUCCGGUGUAAUGAUCCAGAGCGGCAGGAAUCCGGUGUUAUGGUAGAGAGAGGCAGUCCGAUAUGUUCUGGGUUGAUAUCGCGCUGUGCAGACUGGCAAGUGUUGUCCGAGCUAAGGCUGGUUGGUGACCGAGAAAAAGGUGAAGACCGCUAGCCGUGGCUAACAAGAACUAGUAGCUAGUUAGCUGGCUAGCUCCUGAUGGAAGUUCCAGUUAUAAGGAAUAAAAAUAGCAGAGCCGUACCACAUUGAGUGAGGCGGGUUGCAAGAAAGUAUAUUUAGUUCGUAGAUAGAAAGUGAGAUUAAGAUAUAUACGAAAAAGACCGGCUAUUUACACAGGAUAAGAUACGGGAUAAGACAAAGACAAAUGUCCUACUGCUACGCCAUCUUGGAUCCGCUGUGUCGGAUUGUGUCGUUGAGCAUUCAUGUACAUAUAAUAACACCGUAAAUUCAAAAGCCGUAUCUACAUACUGAAUUCCAAACCAGGCCUUUAGCCAAAAUGUCAGACAAUGUGUUUAAUAUAUUCAUGUCCUUUAUACUGUAUUUCAUGGUUUAUUCAUAUUAUGGCAAAUAUAAAUUGGAUAGGAUCUCCUGUAUACUAUGGCAAAAUAGGACAGUUAUAUAUGACUCAUGGAACUCUGUUUUUCUCUUUUUUUAUACAAGGCAAGGUUUGUCUUUAUGAUCUCACUUCAUAAGAACUGGGUUGUGGCAUCAGCAAUUUCUGCCUCAAUAAAUACAUUAAAAACA